CGUCUCGCACACUGAACUAGACGCCAUUAGAAAACUCAUUUCUCUGUAACUACCAAUUCGCCGUUUUUCAACUCUCCGUUCAAUGUCAAAACCCGACCCGAUCCCUCAAAACCCUAACAAUGUCGAAGAAACAGAGGAAGAGGACUCCGAUGACGACGAGUUUGAAGAAUUCGUCGAAGAAGAAGAGUCGGACCUCCAACCUGACCCGCCCCGAACCCGAAAGGAACAAGCAGGAAUAGAACGGGCGAAAAUGGCGAGUUUCGUUCAAAGAAUACAAACAGAAACGGUGCCGCUUCGAGUACACGACGUGAUAAUCAAAGGAAAUACUAAAACUAAGGAUUCGUUUCUAGAAGCGGAAACGGCGUUACUUAAAGAAGUAACGUCAAUGCAGGAACUGUUAGAGGCGUCAAAAUUGGUUAAUUUUAGGUUACAAGCUCUUGAAGUGUUUGAUUCGGUGAGAAUCACGCUUGAUUCCGGUCCGCCCGAACUUGCCGGUACUGCGAAUGUGGUUGUGGAAGUUGUUGAGACUACGAGUCCGAUUUCCGGCGAAAUUGGCGCGUAUACUAAAGGCGAGGCUAGAUCUUCAACAGUUGAAGGAACUCUUAAGUAUAAAAAUGUAUGUGGUUAUGGGGAUCUUUGGGAUGCCUCUAUGGCUUAUGGCGGGGACCAUAUGACUGAGGUAAGUGCUGGUGUUUAUGUGCCAAGAUUCAAAGGACUUGUGACUCCUCUGACAGCAAGGGUGUUCCUAUUAUCUCAAGAUUGGCUUAAAUUUUCUUCUUAUAAAGAGCGAUCAUUGGGCCUUUCUCUUGGCUUGGUUUCUAGCAGAAAUCAUGACUUGGUAUACAAUCUUGCAUGGCGUACCUUGACAGAUCCAUCACAAAUGGCAUCCAGGUCAAUAAGGAGGCAGCUUGGUCAUGGUUUACUUUCAUCUUUGAAAUACACCUUUAAGGUAGACCAGAGAAAUUCUCCUCUGAGGCCAACACGUGGAUAUGCGUUUGUUUCUACCACUCAGGUUGCUGGCCUUGCACCUGAUAGUCGGAGCUUGUGUUUUCUGCGCCAGGAACUUGACCUUCGUUAUGCAAUCCCUCUUGGAUUUUUACGUUCUGCACUCAAUCUUGGGAUCUCUGCUGGUGUUGUGUUCCCAUGGGGAACUGGGUUUUCUAAUAUGCCUUCACCCCUGCCAGAGAGAUUUUUUAUGGGCGGCAAUUUGUCUCCAAUCUGUACUUUGGGAGGUCCAAUAGCGUUGUAUGGAUUCAGAACAAGGGGAUUGGGCCCUUCCGAACCUCGAAGACAAACGCAGAAUAAUCCAACUGAUGAUAGUGCUGACCCUGGUAGAGAUCAUCUUGGAGGAGACCUGGGCGUUACUGCUUUUGCAGAUCUUUCUUUUGAUUUUCCAUCCAGGUGGUUUCAAGCAAAAGGAAUCCAUGGACAUUUGUUUGCUUCUGCUGGCAAUGUUGAUAAACUAACCGAAAAAGCAUACCAAAGUUUUUCCCUGCGGAAGUUUGUGGAAUCAUGUCGAAGCACUGUGGGUGUUGGGAUUGUUGUCCCUACGAUGCUGUUCCGCCUGGAGUUAAAUUACUGCUACAUGUUGAAGAAAUUUGAGUAUGACCGAGGGAAGUCUGGGUUCCGAGUCAGCUUCUCUACACCUUCAUAGCAUGUGGAUUCUAUUUAUCACACAAUAAUGGCUGGAAGACUUCUUCGACACACAGGAUUUCAUUUCAGAGUCGGUAGCUAAAGAGGCAUUGUUCGGUCAAAGUAAAGCUUAGUCUGUCAAGGUCGAUUAGAGUCCUACAAAGAGACGACAAAUUUCGAAGGAACACUAGAGGAGGUCUCUGGUUGUUGGUUCUGAGGGUCAAGUCAGUGUGUUAUGUUGGAAAAGAUAGAGAUACAAAGAAUAAGGAAUUAAAGAAUAGAGAAUGGCAAUAGAGUACUUAAACAAUCAUAUUUUUCUGGAUCUUCUUUUCAUAUGAUCUGUAUUUCUUAUGGAUCUUUUUUUCACAUCCGGUUCAACAUCUUUUUUUUAUGGAUCUUA